UAAUAUUAUAAAGCUGAACCCUCUUAUUAUAAAACGCGGUAUCAAAUAAGUAUCGGCUUUUGUACUACCUUUAAUCCACCUUUAAGUACGACCUUGAAAAAACGUUAUUACAAAACGCAGUUUAUCGCAAGUCCUAUUACUAUCUGUAGUACAAAAGAUAAACCAUCGAGCCCCCUAGUUUAACUACAGUACUUAGUCGACAAACGUCAAAUUCCGACAUUAUUUACUUUUGAGGUUAUUUGUUUUGUGAUGAAAAAAACGAAAGUGGAUAUAAAUAUGUGUGAUUUGGAAUACUUGGAUGUGUUAGAAUACUAUUGAGAGUGUCCGGGGACCCAACAGAAUGCGUCAUCGACAAAAUCUCUUCAAAUUACCUGACGACAAUUUUCGAUAUAAAUAUCGAAUUACGUUUUUCGAAAUAAUAGUCAAUUGAAUGCAUGAUGAUAAUCCAGGAUGAUCCUAUGAUGCUCAACUGGGCUCGCCAUAAAAUUCAAGACUAUUUUGGCGUUUUGCACGCCGUAUCUCUGCCAGUAAUAUGCAAUGUUUGUAAAAGACUGGAAGCUUGCUAAAAUGUACAAAAAUGCCUAGAUGAGAAAGGGAACAAGAUUGUGUGAUGAAGAACAGUGUCCAACAUGUAUCAGUGCAUUUGACUAUAUAAAUAGACAUCGGAAUAAAAUAUAAUUUUCUACU